rnacentral:snoRNA from 1 species
GCUGCCUCUGAGCCCCUGCCGCACCUGCGCAUGGCGCCCAGGGUUAAACUGCAGC